UUAGCCCCAUCGCAACAGGGCAAGAGCAGGAGGCCAGUCAUGUUUUUCGACAAUGUGGUGAUCGCCGGAGUGCUGACUGUCGGCCUCAUGGUUCUGUUUUUCGCAGGGUUUGGAUUCUUUAUCUGGAAAGACGCGAAUAAGCGUAAAAAACCUUAAGUCUCUCCAGAGCAACGAGCACGCAAGGCAUUUUGGGCAACUUCGGUUGCCCUUUUUUUUG
rnacentral:sRNA from 3 species